rnacentral:tRNA from 1 species
ACCGAAGUGGCGGAAUUGGUAGACGCGCACGUUUCAGGGGCGUGUGACCGAAAGGUUGUGCGGGUUCGAGUCCCGCCUUCGGUACAA